ACAAUCACAGCCUCUUACCUGCUGAACCACAACAGGGACAAUCAGUGAUCCCAACUACUGCUGACAAACACACGACUAAUGAGAGUUCGUGGCCCACAGAGGGGUCCUGACAGGUCUUCCCCUCCAGGAUUGGCCUGGAGUUCAUCUCCAUCCUUCUUCCCAUCAUCAUCUCUGGCCAACUGUUCCCGCUGGAGAACAGCAUCCUGCGCAGGGAUGCACAAUAAACUGCAGUGCACUGUGCAGCACUAAAUGUUUCACAAGCCAGAGGUGGGACGGAGGCCAAGUCAGGAAGAAACCACAACUAAGUUGCUUCAAUGAUGAAACAUCAACCUGGAGCAACUUUGUCAGAAAGUCUGGUUGUUCAGACUGGAAUAUCGAGUUUAAUGUUAGUUUCUGAAGCUGGAUUUAGACUCAAACCCCUAUGAGUUACACCAGCAUUUAAUUUCCCUCUGAGAUUAAUUAUUUUUAACUGAAUUGAAUCAUGGUGUGGUCAUAUUGGACUUUAAUACAGUUUACUGCAGAAUUACCUACACGCACAUCAGGGAGGCCCCACUCACUGCCUGCUUUUAAAACUUGACUCAGUUUGAUCUUGUUUGUUUUAGAUCGGCUUUAUUCAUAUUCAAUCUUUUUUUUUUUUUUGUCAUGUUAUAUUUUUAGCUUUUGAUGCGUGUUGUGCAGCACUUUGUUUCAGCUGGAGUUGUUUUAAAGUGCUUUAUAACUGAGGCUGGUACGAUAUGGUACCUGCUGUAUUUAUAGGAAGACGGGACUUUAUCGUCCCAUUCACCAACGUCAUUGCAUGGUUUCCCUUACUAAUAAAAUUCUGUAAGAAA